GGGUUCGAUUCUGCUCAGAUUGAAUGCGCUAUGAUGCUUUACAUGCAGUCGAACGGCAGCAAUGACUGGUCCGGUGGCGAGUGGCGAACGGGUGAGUAAUGUAUCGGAACGUGCCUAGCGGGGACACCCACGGGCAGCAGUAGUUAAUACCGCAUACGCCCUUCGGGGGAAAGCGGGGGACCUUCGGGCCUCGCACUAUUAGAGUUACUGAUAUCGGAUUUAGCUGCUAGUUAUGGGCAGUUAUUCAUCGGCGCACGAUCCGUAGCUGGUUUGAGAGGACGACCAGCUUUGCACACUGGGACUGAGACACGGCCCAGACUCCUACGGAGGCAGCAGUGGGAAUUUUGGACAAUGGGGGAAAUCCCGAUCCAGCCAGUCCGCAAAAGACAAGGCCUUCUGGUUGUAAAGCACUUUUUGGCAGAAAGAAACGGCACGGGAUAAUCGUGUGCAACUCUCCGACGGUACCUGGCAGAAUAAGCACCGGCUAACUACAGCCAGCAGCCGCGGGUAAAAUAUGUAGGGUGCAAGCGUUAAUCGGAAUUACUGGGCGCAGCGUGCGACAAGGUUCGGAAAAGAAAGAUGUAAUCCUGUAGAGCUUAAACUUGGAACUGCAUUUUUAACUACUGAGCUAGAGGUCAGAGUGGAGAAUCGCUAUGUGAAAGGGUGGAAGCAGCGGUAGAUAUGCGGAGGAACACCUGAUGGCGAAGGCAGCCCCUUGGAUGUAACACUGACGCUCAUGCACGAAAGCGUGGGGAGCAACAGGAUUAGAUACCCUGGUAGUCCACGCCCUAAACGAUGUCAACUAGCUGUUGGGGCCUUCGGGCCUUGGCAGCGCAGCUAACGGCGUGGUUGACCGCCCGAGCAUGGUCGCAAGAUUAAAACUCAAAGGAAUUGAUUUGGGACCUGUACAAGCGGUGGAUGAUGAUUAAUUCGAUGCAACGCGAAAACCUUACCUACCCUUGAUAUGUUCGGAAUCCCGAAGAGAUUUGGGAGGUUUCAAGAGAACGGAACACAGGUAUGCAUGGCUGUCGUCAGCUCGUGUCGUGAGAUGUUGGGUUAAGUCCCGCAACGAGCGCAACCCUUGUCAUUAGUUGCUACGAAAGGCACUGAGCGAGACUGCUGGUGACAAACUGGAGGAAGGUGGGGAUGACGUCAAGUCCUCAUGGCCCGCAGGCAGGGCCAUUAUCGUCAUACAAUGGUCGGGACAGAGGCCGCCAACCCGCGAGGGAGCCAAUCCCAGAAACCCGAUCGUAGUCCGGACUGCAGUCUGCACCUUCGACUGCGUGCGGAAGUCGGAAUCGCUAGUGUUCCGCGGAUCAGCAUGUCGCGGUGAAUACGUCUCUGGUCUUCUGUACACACCGCCCGUCACACCAUGGGAUGCGGGUUUUACCAGGGAAGUAGUUGAGCCCCAAACCGUGGCGAGGGCGAUUACCACGGUAGGAUUCAUGACCGGGGUGUCGUAACAAGGUAUUCCUGCGCCGAUUACCUGGAUGCCCCGGUGA
rnacentral:rRNA from 1 species